rnacentral:rRNA from 1 species
UUUAUUGGAGAGUUUGAUCCUGGCUCAGGAUGAACGCUGGCGGCGUGCCUAAUACAUGCAAGUCGAGCGAAUGGAUUGAGAGCUUGCUCUCAAGAAGUUAGCGGCGGACGGGUGAGUAACACGUGGG